UAUUUACAAGGAACACCAAUCAGCUGGGCCCAGAUGAACUGGAAGCACAACAUACAGCGGCCGUGAGACUAUUUUCUCCUGAACAUUCAAGAUCUCGCCUAACAAGCACACAUCAACUCAUCCCAAGGAAUUGCACAGCAGUUGAAAGGCUCAUUCUUGAACAGCUGGGUGAACUUCACCUUAAAGUGGACCGCUUAACAGCUGCACUACAGUCAAUUGUUGGAAACGGAGCUCCUAAUCCAACACCUCAGGGCAACGACUAUGACAGAAGCCUCCCCAUUUCAACAUUGGAGGAACGA